rnacentral:sRNA from 1 species
CGCACAAGAGCUGCCGCAUUAUCCCCACGA